GAUGAACGCUAGCGAUAGGCUUAACACAUGCAAGUCGAGGGGCAGCAUGGUCUUAGCUUGCUAAGGCUGAUGGCGACCGGCGCACGGGUGCGUAACGCGUAUGCAACUUGCCUCACAGAGGGGGAUAACCCGUCGAAAGACGGACUAAUACCGCGUACACUCUAUGUUGGGCAUCCAAUGUAGAGGAAAUGAAAUUCGCUGUGAGAUAGGCAUGCGUCCCAUUAGCUAGUUGGUGAGGUAACGGCUCACCAAGGCGACGAUGGGUAGGGGAACUGAGAGGUUGAACCCCCACACUGGUACUGAGACACGGACCAGACUCCUACGGGAGGCAGCAGUGAGGAAUAUUGGUCAAUGGGCGAGAGCCUGAACCAGCCAAGUCGCGUGAAGGAUGACUGUCUUAGGGAUUGUAAACUUCUUUUAUACGGGAAUAACAAGAGUCACGUGUGGCUCCCUGCAUGUACCGUAUGAAUAAGCAUCGGCUAACUCCGUG
rnacentral:rRNA from 1 species